AAACCAGCCAGUGAGUCUGCUGACCGGAAUGUGUUUCUGCAGAAAUUCAGAGAAAGCUGGCAAUAGUAAAGCCAUGGUACAAGCGUUAAAGACAUGGAAGUCAUUAAGGUCCCUGAAAAUGGCUGUAAGA
rnacentral:snoRNA from 1 species